UGCGACCGUCCAGUUUGGCGAUAUUUUGGUGAAGGUGAUUGCUGUGAUUUUUGCUUGGUUGGACUACUGUUGCUACUGCUUGUGGUUCAGGAGCUUGGCCCGGUUUGUUGCUGUUGAAGGGCUCCCAGGAAGUUGCUGUUUUUGAAGGGUUUGCCGUUGUUGUUGUUGCUGUUGGUCAGAGUGCUUCUAACGUUUCUGACUUUUGUGCUGAGAGUUUGGACGCUUGAUUGCUACUUGGUUUCAGAGUGAGCUUUGGUUCGUCGCAGCGAUCCUACAGGUAUCGCUUGGGGGCCGAGUGAUCUCAGCCCAUAGACGCCAGAUCAAGGUCUGUCCCGAUUCUCAUCGUACUCGGAAACGAGUUUGUGUACAAGAAGAGAUUUUGGGAUCCACUCCAGCACAGCAUUUUGUCAACGAUAAUGAUUACCACAGCACUGAACCACAAAACGAAGGGGGAGAAGCACUAUGUACAAGUUCUGCUUAUCGCAAGGCCGAUUCUUCCUCAGCUCAAGGGGAUUUUGGCUUACAAAGUAGUUUUCCGAGCAACGAACCACACAGCAAACGAAGGAGGGAAGAAGAUUCUGAUUCGGAUUCAGAUUUUUAUGGAUUUGCAGCAGAUUCAUUCGUUUUUCAAGAGGUUCCUGCUUUUGAAGAAUAUGAGAUAACUUCACCGGCAGUGAAACCGAUCAGAAGGUCUAAUCGACGAAUGAAGAGAAGAAGAAAAGAGGAAUAUGUUUAUUACUAGCCACAUAUCGAAGAAGCAUGUAAUUUUGAAAUAGGAUAAUUUCUUUUCUGAAAUAGAAUUGUUAUUUAAUUUAGUAAUAUUUGCUAGUUACUUAUGGAAGGAGGAGUUGUGGUGGCAAAAUGGAAGAUACCACUUUCGAACUCUAGAGAGCAAACGAUAAGCUCUCUUUCGAAGUUAAUGAGUGAGAGAUAAAGAUGAAGUGUAAAACCAUAAUCGGGGAAACCGAAUAUCUGAAUAAACAGAAGUUGUUUGACACCCUUGUA